UGGGGAAUAUUGGACAAUGGGCGCAAGCCUGAUCCAGCCAUGCCGCGUGAGUGGUGAAGGCCUUAGGGUUGUAAAGCUCUUUUGUCCGGGAAGAUAAUGACUGUACCGGAGGAAUAAGCCCCGGCUAACUUCGUGCCAGCAGCCGCGGUAAUACGAAGGGGGCUAGCGUUGCUCGGAAUCACUGGGCGUAAAGGGCGCGUAGGCGGACUCUUAAGUCGGGGGUGAAAGCCCAGGGCUCAACCCUGGAAUUGCCUUCGAUACUGAGAGUCUUGAGUUCGGAAGAGGUUGGUGGAACUGCGAGUGUAGAGGUGAAAUUCGUAGAUAUUCGCAAGAACACCAGUGGCGAAGGCGGCCAACUGGUCCGAUACUGACGCUGAGGCGCGAAAGCGUGGGGAGCAAACAGG
rnacentral:rRNA from 1 species